rnacentral:lncRNA from 1 species
UCAAAACCGCUUUCCUUAAUGGAAAGUUGGCUGAAGAUGUUUACAUGAGUCAGCCAGAGGGUUUUGUCAGCAACGAGUACCCUAAUAGAGUGUGUAAGCUUGAGAAAUCCAUUUAUGGAUUGAAGCAAGCACCUCGCAGAUGGAAUCUUUGCUUUGAUGAAAAGGUCAAGGAAUUUGGCUUUUCUAGGAGUGAAGAUGAAUCUUGUGUGUAUGUCAAGGCUAGUGGGAGUAUAGUUAGCUUUUUGGUAUUGUAUGUGGAUGACAUACUACUCAUAGGAAACGACAUUCCAACCCUGCAGGAAGUAAAGUCCUGGCUUGGGAAGUGUUUCGCUAUGAAGGACCUUGGUGAAGCUGCCUAUAUUCUAGGGAUAAGAAUCUUGAGAGAUCGGAGUAAAAGACUAAUUGGACUUAGUCAGAGUACCUACUUGGAUAAGGUGCUGAAGAGAUUCAGCAUGCAGGAUUCCAAGAAAGGAGAGUUACCCAUCCAGAGUAACACCAGAUUGAGUAAGACACAAAGCCCUAGCACUGAGGCUGAGAUAGCAGAAAUGAGUCGAACACCUUACGCUUCGGCUGUAGGAUCGAUCAUGUAUGCUAUGACGUGUACUCGACCCGAUGUAGCUUUUGCCUUGAGCAUGGUUAGCAGGUAUCAGGCGAACCCUGGCAAGGCACACUGGACUGCGGUAAAGAAUAUCCUCAAGUACCUACGGAGGACUAAGGACUGGGUCCUUACCCUCGGUGGGAGUGAUGACUUGAGAGUUGUAGGGUAUAGUGAUGCUAGCUUCCAGACUGAUAGGGAUAAUUUCCGCUCUCAGUCGGGCUGGGUCUUUACCCUAAACGGAGGAGCAAUUUCUUGGAAGAGUUCCAAGCAAGAGACAGUGGCAGAUUCUACUUGUGAAUCAGAGUAUAUUGCAGCUAGUGAAGCAGCAAAGGAGGCGAUAUGGCUGAAGAACUUCAUUGGAGACCUUGGAGUUGUACCAGCUAUUAAAGAGCCAAUGGAAAUUUUCUGUGAUAGUGAAAGUGCUGUUGCCUUAGCCAAGGAACCAAGGGAUCAUGGGAGAUCCAGACACAUCGACAGAAAAUACCAUUUCAUUAGACAUCGGAUCGAAGAAGGACUCCUCGUGGCAAAGAGGGUAUCAUCGGAUGAGAACCCAGCAGAUCCCCUCACGAAGGGACUGAGUAGGGUUAAGCAUCUCCAGCAUGCUCGGAGCAUAGGGCUGAAGGAUGAUAUAAGUUUUAGUAGUUAGAUAACCCAGAAAUUUGUAAAGUGUAAUUGACAUUUGAUGAUGAAUAAAAGGUGUUUUAUUUAUGAGUAAAGUGUUGCUAUCUCUUGUCGAUCGUUUACUAUAUUUCUUUUGCAUGUUUUGACUUCCAGAAUAAUUUUGUUUGGUAUAACAUAUUAUUCAAACCUCCACAGUCGGUCAUAUGUUGGAAGUAGAUAUGAAUCAAGACUGUCAUGUUUGGUUGUAGAGGUCUUGGACAAGGCUACAACAAUCAUGAGUGCUCAUAAGUUCUGAGCAUUGGACUCAACCCACGCUCACUGGAAUCACUUCAUGGAAUUCUAUCUCGAGUGAUCGUGAGACGGUAAUAUCAUAUAAGUCUUCAAACCUAGAGAUAUGAUUUGUUACUUACAAGUUGGUUAUGCAUUGACUGUACGAAACCGCAUUGGUAACUCGAUGUUAUAAAACGUACUUUUGUGUGUAAUUCAAUGAGUGGUAGAACAAACAUAUGAGUCGAAGUUUAUCUGUUCCUUCUUGGAUUAGAAGCUGAUAUCUGGGCCCCUCGAUGAUUUUGUUUUGACCCAUGUACCGGGCCCGGUCAGAACUAAGUUGAUGUGUUCAAUUAAGUUCUAUGUCAAACAAAUCGGAAAUCGGGAAACAAAUGCUGGACAAUAAGCAAGACAAUGUUCCAUGUAUUUGUCCGGCUGAUAUCUAGAACGGAGGAUUAUAUGAUCACUUAUCUUAAAUGGCGUACCAUCAUCUUCUCAGUUCCGAGAGACCUUGAAAGAGCUACGAUUGCCGGUCGGUUCCUGAAGUACUAGAGAUAUAGUUAUUAGACUUAUCCAAGUGGGAGACUGUUGGAUAAGGUGUCUAAGUCCAUAACUAUUUCGGGCUUGUACUUGACCCGACCCGGCAUGGUCCAUUUGGGUUGCAUGGCACCAUGCAAUUGGAUAGACUAAAUGAGAGAAAUAACACUUGGAGAUUAUUAAUAUAUUAUAAGUUCUAAUAUAUUAAUAAUAUUAUUUGAUUAGUUGAUCAAAGAAUUAAUUUGGAAUUAAUUAAGUGAUCAAAGGAUAACUAAUUAAAUAUAUGGGUUGAUUAUGUAAAUCAUCCAUAUCUUGUAUAGUGGGCUAAGAGGCUCCAUGGAUUAUCAAGUUGGGUUCUACCCAUAGGAUGCUCCAUGGAUGCUCCAUGGGAGUUACAAACCCAUGGGUCAUGGAAAUGAAGAGUCAUGACACAUUAGGGUUUACAUGGUGUAACCCUAGAUGUGCCAACACUAUAUAAGAGUCCCAUUCUCCACAAAAUUGGCUACACAAGUUGAACACUAAGAAACUAGAGGGCUUGGCCGAUUUUGAGAAGUGUGUGUUAUCUCAAGAGUCUUUCCAAGAGCAUUUGGUGUUGUGUGAAGCAUUUGAGGCAUCACACUUGGGGUGCUAGGCUCACAAGGUUUCAAGGAACACAAGCAACAACAAGGUAAGUUAUUCUAUCUAUGAUUCAAGUUAAAAUUGUUCCCCAUGUAUGCUAGAUAGGAAUAUAACCUUGGAAUUCAACUUUGCAUGAUAAUUAGACAAACAUAGAUCCAAGGUUAUUAGGGUUGCAUGUACACUUAGGAAGUGUUAGAAUGCUCAAAACCCAUCAGUGGUAUCAGAGCCUAGGCUUGUUUGUUUGUUAUUUGUGCUUAAAAGUUGAAGAAAGUCGAAAAUUCUGCUGUCUGACUGAUGGACUCGGCGAGUCCAUGGGGAGGACUCGUCGAGUUCAUGUGUAUCUUCAACCUACUCGGCGAGUAGGUUUAUGCACUCGGCGAGUAGGGUCGACAGAGUGCAGAAUUUCGACUUGAGUUGCUGGAAAUGGAUUAGAAUCAUUACCCUAAAAUGUUUUGGUACUUGAAAACUUAUUUUAGAAGGUGUAAUGUCUUUUCUAACUCAUUUACAACAACUAGUUAUCAAAAUUACAAAGAUUAAAUGUGAUUUUGAUUCUUGAAAGUGUUCAUAUUCAUAUUCUUGUUCUUAUGAUGUUUAGAUGAUCAUAGGAAUUAUUUGUAACCUAUGUGGUAGAUUAAUUCAUGAUCAUAAUGUGUUUUAAUGGAGUCCAUAACUUGUCCUCAAGUUAUGGAAAACCAAAAGUCUCUUGGAUUAAAAACCAUUAAAAGAACACAAGAGUUAGGAAAAAUGAAAAGUCCUCAUUUUAUUACUCUAUUAAACUCAUAAGUUACAAGAAAUGAAAAGUUUUGAAAGUUUACAAAACUUGCCCUCAAGUUUUGGAACAAGUAAAGUUAAGUUAAAACUUUAGUUCCAACCCCUAGAAUUUUAAAAGUUAAAAUUCAACCCUUAUACUUAUAUUAUUAUGAUUUAAUAAUUAUAUAUAUAUGUAUAAGAACAAAGUCGUCUUACCGCUAGUACGCCUCAUUCACGAAGCCGGUCUAUAAGGUGGGUAUAAGGUUGUUGCCUAUAAAAUGGUGACUUAAUGGGUGUCCACUCUCACCCACCGCUUGCUUGAUCGGUGGAGGGUCGUUAGCCGAACGGGUAAGACAAGGACUUAUUAAUUCUCAUUCAAAGUAUGAUGAAUAUUAUAAAGUAACUAAAUGUUUUAUUAAAUUCCCAAUCUUAGUUACUUUAGGAAAAAUGUGAAUAAGGUGCUAUUCCAUGAAAUUACACUUUACACUUUGAUUAAGUCGUUGGUGGAGCGUGUGUGGUUAACCGGCACACUAACUUGGACUUAACAAGGUAGGUAAAGGGUGACUUAGGGUUUAUUAUAGUAUCGAUGGAGCGUGUGUGGUUAACCGGCACAUCGAUUGAGUGAUAAACUUUAAGGGUACCAAGUGAUUUGCAUGGUUACUUCACACCUCGUUUUGUGAUCCUCGGUAUCCCAGUCACAAAACUUGGAGGGCACACUCGAGAUUGAAACAUGCCUUUGAAAAGUUCAUUGAAUCUCAAAGAAUCUAGGAAUUUCUAAGAACCAUUCAAAAACCUAAUACUAAAAUAUUGCGGUUUUCGUGGUGGAAAUUGGUGAAUCGUCAUUCACCUACCUUUCAAAUAUGAUAUAGCUUAGAUUACGGCAUACCUCUUCUAAGUUAUAUUAUAUUGUGAUUGGAUCCUAGCCUUAAUAUUACAUUUGGGUGUUUUAUUAAGGACUCUCUUAUAUCUAAACUAAUCUUGUCCUCUUUCCUUCAGAUGUCUUUCAACAAUGCUUCUGGCUCUAAUCCUAAUGGCUCCUUUACCCUUAUGAACUUGUGUGGGAAAGUCACCUUUGAUGGAUCCAACUUCAAUGAGUGGAUCAGAAACAUCAGGAUGAUUACCCGCUACGAGGACAAAGAAUAUGUCCUUGACAAGGAGCUUAAGGAGAUUGAUGAGUCCACUGCAACUCCUCAGGAGAUCGCUGAAUUUCGGGCACAUGAAAGGGAUGCUACGAAAGUGGCUUGCAUCAUGAUGGCCACGAUGACAGCGGAACUCCAAAAGUCUUAUGAGGAUUUCUACCCUUAUGACAUGCACCAAGAUUUGAUGGAAAGAUACCAUCAAAGUGCAAGACAAGAGAGGUAUGAAAUCAUCUGCUCCAUGAUAACAACCAUGAUGAAGGACGGGGAAUCCGUCACGAGCCACAUGCAGAAAAUGCAAAGGUAUGUGGAUCGUUUGCUGAAGCUUAAUGUGAACUUCCCGGAGGAUCUUGCAAUAGAUAUUAUUUUGCAUUCCUUACCAUCGUGCUAUGAUCAAUUCCGCAUGACAUAUCACAUGAACAAGGAAGAAGUCACCCUCAGCAAACUUCAGGGACUUCUCAAGACCGCAGAAACAGGUCUUAAGGGGAAGUCGGUUGCUAUCACUCCUACUCAAAACUCUACUCCGGUUUUGGCAAUCGGGAAAAGUCGAGGGAGGAAGAGAAAGAGCUCUUCUAAGGGUACCAAGGCUCGGACCCUUGAUGGCUCUUCUUCAAGUGGAACCAAGAAAGGUUUCGUUACUCCUUCUUCUGACCCAAAAGAGGCUGAAUGCUUCUAUUGCCAUGAAAAAGCUCAUUGGAAGCGGAACUGCCCAAAAUACCAGCAAGAUGUGAAGGAUGGGAAAGUUAAACCCAACCAUGCAGGUAUUUACACUAUCAUUUCUAAUAACUCACCCCAUUCUAAUUCUUGGGUCCUUGAUACCGGGUGUGGUAUUCACAUUUGUUGUGACUUGCAGGGACUAAGAAGAAGUGAGGAUGUGGAGCAAGGAAGGAUAAACUUGAUCAUGGGGAAUAGGAAAGCUAUACCUGUUACCAAGAUUGGAGUUUAUACUUUAUCGCUAAGUAGUGGGUUUAGUUUAGAUUUGAAUAAGUGUUGUUAUUCGCCAGGAAUGGCAAGAAAUAUUAUUUCCUUUCAUGCUUUGUACAAACAAGGGUUUACCUUUUCAUUUAAUAAUGAAGUUGGUUCUAUAGAUGUUUUCUAUAAUAAUGUCUUUUAUUUUAAAGCAUUACCUUGUGAUGGUGUGUAUGAAGCUGUAUCUGUUGUAGAUAACUUGGGAAAUAAUGUUUUGUGUAUUGAUUCUACUAAUAAUAACUUGGAUAAAGCAUCUUUAUGGCAUUGUCGUCUUGGACAUAUAAGCAAGAAACGCAUAGGCCAACUCCAAAAGGAUGGAGUCUUGGAGUCGUUUGACCUAAAGUCAGAUGAUAGUUGCGAAUCAUGCUUACUUGGAAAAAUGACAAAGUCACCCUUCACAGGUUCGUGUGAGAGGGGUGAAGGUUUGUUGGACCUUAUACACACGGAUGUGUGUGGACCAUUCAAACAUGCCACAAGGGAUGCUAAUCGUUAUUAUUUGACUUUUACUGAUGAUUAUAGUAGAUAUGGAUAUGUCUACUUGAUCAAGCAUAAGUCAGAGACUUUCGAGAGGUUUAAGGAAUUUAAACAGGAAGUCGAGAAUCAAUUGGGCAGGAACAUUAAGAUGCUUCGAUCCGAUCGUGGUGGUGAGUAUCUUAGUUCAGAGUUCCUCGACUAUCUAAGGGAAUGUGGGAUAGUCUCACAAUUGACACCUCCCAGGACACCACAGUUGAAUGGUGUGGCUGAGAGGCGUAAUCGAACCUUGUUAGAUAUGGUUCGUUCCAUGAUGAGUCGAGCUACGCUACCAAUCUCAUUCUGGGGGUAUGCCUUAGAGACUGCCGCCCAUAUUCUUAAUCUAGUCCCUACAAAGAAAGUUGCCAAAACUCCUCACGAGAUGUGGACUGGUAAAGUACCUAAACUAGACCACAUCAAGAUUUGGGGUUGCGAGGCUUUCGUGAGACGCGAGACUCAUGAUAAGCUCGAACCUCGAAGCGAGAGGUGUAUUUUCAUCGGUUACCCACAGCGAUCCUUUGGUUACCUCUUCUACAGACCUAGUGACAAUGUGGUCUUUGUAGCAAGAAGAGGAGUCUUUCGAGAAAGAGAGUUUAUAAGCCAAGGAGACAGUGGGAGGCAAAUUGAUCUUGAAGAAAUUCAAGAAUCAAGCGGUGAAGGAACUUCAAACUCUAGCCCUCAACUUGAGGAGGAAACUCCUGUUGAGCCAAUUGACAAAUCUGUACCUCUGAGACGUUCCACGAGAGUUAGGAGUGCACCUGAGCAUUACUAUGGAUUCCAUAUUACUGCAGAAGGUGAGACACUUAUUAGUGAUGAGACACUAGUAAGUCAAGAUGACCCUAACAGCUACGAGGAAGCCAUGGCAGGCCCCGAGUCUGCUAAAUGGAAAGAGGCUAUGGAUAGCGAGAUACAAUCCAUGUAUGACAAUCAAGUUUGGAACUUGGUUGAAAAUGUACCAGGUCGUAAGACAGUAGGGUGCAAAUGGGUCUUCAAGAAGAAGACCGACAUGGAUGGUAAAGUACACACUUAUAAGGCUAGACUGGUUGCAAAGGGCUUCUCUCAAAUUCCUGGAGUGGACUAUGAUGAGACCUUUUCUCCAGUAGCCAAGAUUAAGUCUAUUCGGGUUCUGUUAGCCAUAGCUGCAUUUCAUGACUAUGAAAUAUGGCAAAUGGAUGUCAAAACCGCUUUCCUUAAUGGAAAGUUGGCUGAAGAUGUUUACAUGAGUCAGCCAGAGGGUUUUGUCAGCAACGAGUACCCUAAUAGAGUGUGUAAGCUUGAGAAAUCCAUUUAUGGAUUGAAGCAAGCACCUCGCAUAUGGAAUCUUUGCUUUGAUGAAAAGGUCAAGGAAUUUGGCUUUUCUAGAAGUGAAAAUGAGUCUUGCGUGUAUGUCAAGG